rnacentral:tRNA from 1 species
AGUGAGUUAGUUUAAGUUUAAAACGCUAGGUUGUGGUUCUAGAGAUAAAGUUUUUAUUCACUA